rnacentral:lncRNA from 10 species
GUUAUAUUAAAAAAUUUUUAACUUUAAAUGGUAAAAAAAAAAAAAAAGUAACAGUUUUAACAAAACUUUCAAUUAAUUUAAGUUAGCCAUCUUAGAAAAGUAGAAAUCUACUUGUUUUUUUUGUUUGUUUGUUUUGUUUUUUUUGAGACAGUCUUACUCUGUCACCCAGGCUGGAGUGCAGUGAUGCAAUCUCGGCUCACUGAAACCUUCACCUCCUGGGUUCAAGCGAUUCUUGUGCCUCAGCCUCGCGAGUAGCUGGGAAGCUGGGAUUACAGGCAUGAGCCACUGGACCAGGUCGAAAUCUACUUCUCUGGAUGAAAACUGAGGCACAUGGAAGUUGACCUUUAAACAACAUGGGUUUGAACUGCCUGGAUCUACUCACACAGGGAUUUUCUUCAGCCUCUGUCACCUGAGACAGCAAUACCAAUCCCUCCAACUCCUCUUCCUCAGCCUACUCAACUUUGUGAAGACGAUGAGGACAAAAACCUUUAUGAUGAACCACUUCCAUUUAAUGAACAGUAAAUAUACUUUCUUUUCCUUAGGAUUUUCUUAAUAACACUUGCUUUUCUAGCUUGCUUUAUAAUAAGACUGCAGUAUAUAAUACAUAUAACAAAAAAUAUGUGUAAUCAACUGUUAAUGUUAUCAGUAAGGCUUCUGGUCAACAGUAGGUUAUUAGGAGUUAAGUUUUGGGGGAGUCAAAAAUUAUACAGAUUUUUGACUGCAUGGGGGAUUGGCAUCCCUAACCCCCUGUGUAUUUAUAAAUAAAUACACAAGCACUACUAGUUGCAACUUUACUAAUACAGUACUUACAAGCUGGCAAGAUGAAAGCAUUUAUCCUAAAAACAUACACCUCCUAACCAGUCAGGGCUUCAUGAAUAUCACUUUGUUAUUUCUCAUACAUUUCUGGGAAUUAUUUGGUUGUUUGAUUAUAAAAUGGAAAGUCUCCCUAGUUGUGGAGGUCUCCACUGAAUGCACUAUGUCAAAUUCCUGGACAGUCCAAUGCUCUAACUCAGAUGGAACAAUUUGAUAUGGACUUAAUUAGUCUGCACUCUUACCAUCUCCAUGCCUAUGUUCUCAAAUCUCCCGAAUUUGUUCACCCAUGUUUCAUCUCAAGGUUAAUAAUGUGACCCAACAAAAACUGGCUUUUUCUUUUAAAUCUUUGUAAAGUUCAGCGCCCUAAACAUAGUUGAUACACAAACACAUUUCUGAGAGAACAGCUUACUGAAGGAAUCACACAUUUGAUUUUGUAUAACGAGAAACUGUCUCCAUCUCUUGAGAUAUUUUAACUUGAAGCCCCUACGUUCUAAUUCACCUGAGAUCCAUUAAACUCCUAAAAUUGCAUGCAAUUUUUUGGAGUGCUUUCAUUUUUCUCAAGGUAGAGUCCAUAGCUUUUAUUAGAUUUUCAAAUGGGGGGUGGUUAUAAGAGGAAAAUAAGAUUAAUAUACACCAUUAUAAUUAAUCUAUUAGUCCAUUUUCAUGCUACUGAUAAAGACAUAUCUGAGAGGGGGCAAUUUACAAAAGACUGUGGUUUAAUUGACUCACAGUUCCACAUGGCUG